GACGAACGCUGGCGGCGUGCCUAAUACAUGCAAGUAGAACGCAGUUGCGAACGGGUGAGUAACGCGUAGGUAACCUGCCUCAUUGCGGGGGAUAACUAUUGGAAACGAUAGCUAAUACCGCAUACUGUGAGAUGCACCUGCUUGGUAUUAGCUAGUGGGGGAGGUAAAGGCACACCAAGGCGACGCUACAUAGCCGAACUGAGAGGGUGAUCAGCCACACUGGGACUGAGACACGGCCCAGACUCCUACGGGAGGCAGCAGUGGGGAAUCUUGCGCAAGGGACGGAAGCCUGACCGAGCAACGCCGCGUGAGUGAAGAAGGUUUUCGGAUCGUAAAACUCUGUUGGUAGAGAAGCGGUAUCAAACGAGAAAGCCACGGCUAACUACGUGCCAGCAGCCGCGGUAAUUC
rnacentral:rRNA from 1 species